CAACCGCGACAAGUACACGAAGCCUGAACCGCCAUGCCGCGUGUGUGAAGAAGGCCUUCGGAUUGUAAAGCACUUUAAGUUGGGACGAAGGGCACUAAAUUAAUACUUUCACUGUUUUGACGUUACCGACACAAUAAGCACCGGGCUAACUCUGUGCCAGCAGCCGCGGUAAUAC
rnacentral:rRNA from 1 species